ACGAACGCUGGCGGCGUGCUUAACACAUGCAAGUCGAACGGAAAGGCCCUGCUUUUGUGGGGUGCUCGAGUGGCGAACGGGUGAGUAACACGUGAGUAACCUGCCCUUGACUUUGGGAUAACUUCAGGAAACUGGGGCUAAUACCGGAUAGGAGCUCCUGCUGCAUGGUGGGGGUUGGAAAGUUUCGGCGGUUGGGGAUGGACUCGCGGCUUAUCAGCUUGUUGGUGGGGUAGUGGCUUACCAAGGCUUUGACGGGUAGCCGGCCUGAGAGGGUGACCGGCCACAUUGGGACUGAGAUACGGCCCAGACUCCUACGGGAGGCAGCAGUGGGGAAUAUUGCACAAUGGGCGGAAGCCUGAUGCAGCAACGCCGCGUGCGGGAUGACGGCCUUCGGGUUGUAAACCGCUUUCGCCUGUGACGAUGCGUGAGUGACGGUAAUGGGUAAAGAAGCACCGGCUAACUACGUG
rnacentral:rRNA from 1 species